rnacentral:tRNA from 1 species
GUGGGCGUAGCUCAGUUGGCAGAGCUCCAGGUUGUGGCCCUGGCGGCCGCGGGUUCAAAUCCCGUCGCUCACCCA